GGGCAGCUGUUAUCAGCGGGACGCGACUGUUACCCGAGGGCACUGUUUCAGCCGGGUCACAUGCACACAGAUAACACAGAAUCCUGCCGAGCCCCCCGUGACUCUGUUCCACCUCCGUCCGACGUUGGAGUGGAGUAGCUGUACCUGAGAAUGCUAGGCGGCGGGGGAGACGGAUUCAUUUGAGAUGGGCAUGGAGAGAUCACGGAUCUGAGUGGAGGUCCGCUUGCUGGAAGCCUGGAACAAGAGGAGCCAGGGAAUCAGCCGCAGGUCCGGGCGGGCGGCACCGGAAUCGCCGCCGGCGCUAUCCCGCGCCGGGGCACCGCCGCUGGUGAGAUCCCGCGCCGGGAGGCAUUGUUCAAUUAGAUCCCAGCUCAAAAUAGGCAGGCAGGAGGCUUCGCUAAAUCUGUACCUGCGUCCAUGAUUUGGCCGUCAGCAUGCAGGAGGCGAAGAAACCAUUGAAGAUGCGAUGCUGCAUGCAGCUUCCGGCGCCGGCCAUUGAAGGAUGGCACAUGGCUUUGGUUGGCGACCAUCAAGUGCAUGCGAUUAAUUGGCCGGCGGCAACGGUCACUCGUCGUCUUGGGUUUGGCACGCCGGCUCUUAGAGUAUCUCCAGUCCGUUAGCCCUUACAAGAGGCAUAAAUAUCGCCGUCUGAGGGCGUGGCGGCUGUAGAAUCGGCUCUCGGGGUGGAUGGACAUUCAGCCAUCGCCCCAGGUCGUCCUCAGGCGCCGAUAUCGGCCCAUUCCAGGCCGCCUUUCGACCCACUUUCGACAAAAAACAGCCCGAUAUCGGCAC